rnacentral:rRNA from 1 species
UACGUAGGGGGCAAGCGUUGUCCGGAUUUAUUGGGCGUAAAGAGCGUGUAGGCGGCCUGAAAGGUCAGCUGUGAAAACUCGAGGCUCAACCUCGAGACGUCGGUUGAAACCAUCUGGCUAGAGUCCGGAAGAGGAGUGUGGAAUUCCCGGUGUAGCGGUGAAAUGCGCAGAUAUCGGGAAGAACACCCGUGGCGAAGGCGGCACUCUGGGACGGUACUGACGCUGAGACGCGAAAAGCGUGGGGAGCCGAACGAGG